UGCCCCUCUGGCGAUGGGCAGAGAGACAGCUUGUUGGUGAUGGUCUUAUAUCAGCCAGGGGCAGAGCAGAUGGCAGUCCUUUGAUCAUCCUAGCCUGAUGCCUGGCUCAGUGGCCAAAGCUGUUUUAUGCCUAGGAUUCAUGA